rnacentral:rRNA from 1 species
CCUACGGGAGGCAGCAGUCGGGAAUUUUGCGCAAUGGACGAAAGUCUGACGCAGCAACGCCGCGUGAGGGAUGAAGGCCUUCGGGUUGUAAACCUCUUUUAUCAGGGAAGAUGAUGACGGUACCUGAUGAAUAAGUCACGGCUAACUACGUGCCAGCAGCCGCGGUAAU